rnacentral:rRNA from 1 species
CACGUAGGAGGCGAGCGUUGUCCGGAAUCAUUGGGCGUAAAGAGCGCGCAGGCGGCUUGGCAAGUCGGGUGUGAAAUCCCGGGGCUCAACCCCGUGACUGCAUCCGAUACUGUCAGGCUAGAGGUAGGUGGGGGAGAUCGGAAUUCCUGGUGUAGCGGUGAAAUGCGCAGAUAUCAGGAGGAACACCGGUGGCGAAGGCGGGUCUCUGGGCAGUAACUGACGCUGAGGAACGAAAGCGUGGGUAGCAAACAGG